rnacentral:rRNA from 1 species
UACGGAGGGGGCUAGCGUUGUUCGGAAUUACUGGGCGUAAAGCGCACGUAGGCGGCUUUGUAAGUUAGAGGUGAAAGCCCGGGGCUCAACUCCGGAACUGCCUUUAAGACUGCAUCGCUUGAAUCAUGGAGAGGUCAGUGGAAUUCCGAGUGUAGAGGUGAAAUUCGUAGAUAUUCGGAGGAACACCAGUGGCGAAGGCGGCUCACUGGCUCGACACUGACGCUGAGGUGCGAAAGCGUGGGGAGCAAACAGG